rnacentral:rRNA from 1 species
UACGGAGGGUGCGAGCGUUGUCCGGAAUCACUGGGCGUAAAGGGCGCGUAGGCGGCGCGGGCAGUCAACGGUGAAAGCUUGGGGCUCAACCCCGAGUCGGCCGUCGAUACUCCCGGGCUUGAGCACUGUAGAGGCAGGUGGAAUUCCGGGUGUAGCGGUGGAAUGCGCAGAUAUCAGGAGGAACACCAAUGGCGAAGGCGGCACUCUGGGACGUGACUGACGCUGAGACGCGAAAGCGUGGGGAGCAAACAGG